UUAACAUUGAGUUUCCCCACACAUGUUUACAGACGAGUUAAAGAGCAAGAGAAGAAGAGACUGAUUCAUAAAUGUCUUUGUUUCUGCUCUAACCUUACCCAAACAAUGCUGCUCUACAACUCUACACUACCAGCCACAAAGACAACAGCUGGAGAAACAUCUGUCUACCUC